UGGCUCUCCCAUCGAUGAAGAACGCAGCGAAAUGCGAUAAGUAAUGUGAAUUGCAGAAUUCAGUGAAUCAUCGAAUCUUUGAACGCACCUUGCGCCCUUUGGUAUUCCGAAGGGCAUGUCUGUUUGAGUGUCAUUAAAUUCUCAACUUUGAACUGGUUUACUAGUCUCAAAGCUUGGAUGUGAGGGCUUUGCCGGCUUCCUUCAGUGGCGGUCGACUCCCUUUAAAUGCAUUAGUGGGUCCUUUGUGGACGGUCACUUGGUGUGAUAAUUGUUGCAUCGCCUGGCUUGAAACGAACUAUAGGAACUUGCUUAUAACCGUCGUGCAUUCGACACUUUUUGAACCAUUUGACCUCAAAUCAGAUAGGACUACCCGCUGA
rnacentral:misc_RNA from 1 species